rnacentral:lncRNA from 1 species
ACUCCUGUUUUAACCAGCAUGAUUUCCAGCAGUUCUAAUACAUGUUUUUUUUUUUUUAAGAAAAAAAUUCACCCUGACAACAAACAGUUGCUUCUAUCAUUUCUGCCAUCAAAUAGUAAAGAUCUGACAGCUCUUCAGAUGCCAGCAAUCAGGAUUUGCAGUACAGAUGAAGACUGUGGAACACUUAUUUUAAUGGGCUAGAAGACUUCCUGGCAUGUUUUGAGUAAAUUGUGCUACUGUCAUGCAGAACUGGAUUAAUGUCUGUCUUAUAAAUAAGACCCACAUGGUA